rnacentral:rRNA from 1 species
GACGAACGCUGGCGGCGUGCUUAACACAUGCAAGUCGAACGGGAAGUCCGGGCUUUGUGGGGGUGGGCGAGUUGCGGACGGGGAAGUAACACGUGGGUUACGUACAACUGACUGUGGGGUAACUUCAUGCAGGUUGGUGUAAUAGCGGAUAGGAUCUCCUGCUGCAGGGUGGGGGUUGGAAGGUUUCGGCGGUUGGGGGUGGAAUCGCGGCCUAUGAGAUUGUUGGGGGGGUAGUGGCUUAGCAAGGCUUUGACGGGUAGCCGGCCUGAGCGGGUGACCGGACAAACUGGGACUGAACUAAGGCACAGACUACAACGGGAGGCAGGAGUGGGGAAUAGUGUACAAUGGGAGGAACCAUGAUGCAGUAACGCAGCGUGCGGGAUGACGGCCUUCGGGUUGUAAACCGCUUCCGCCUUUGACGAAGCGUGAGUGACGGUACUGGGUAAAGAAGCACCGGCUAACUACGUG